rnacentral:rRNA from 1 species
UGUCUCCUACGGGGCGCAGCAGUAGGUUAUCUUGUUUUUUGGACGACCGUCUGAUGGAGCAACGCCGCGUGAGUGAAGAAGGGUUUCGGCUCGUAAAACUCUGUUGGUAGUGAAGAAAGAUAGAGGUAGUAACUGGCCUUUAUUUGACGGUAAUUACUUAGAAAGUCACGGCUAACUACGUGCCAGCAGCCGCGGGAAUACGUAGGUGGCAAGCGUUGUCCGGAUUUAUUGGGCGUAAAGCGAGUGCAGGCGGGGCAA